CUCAUUAAAAGAGUGCGUAAUAGCUCACUGGUCGAGUGACUCUGCGCCGAAAAUUCAACGGGGCUAAAAUUCAUACCGAAGCUUGGGCUUGACAGUAAUGUCAGGGGUAGGGGAGCGUCGUAUACGAGGUGAAGUCAUAGCGGAAGCGGUGGUGGAUUGUAUACGAGUGAGAAUGCCGGAAUGAGUAGCGAGAAUUAUGUGAGAAUCAUAAUGGCCGAAAGUCUAAGGUUUCCUGAGGAAGGUUCGUCCUCUCAGGGUUAGCCGGGAGCUAAGGUGAGGCGGAAACGCGUAGCCGAUGCACAUACGGUAGAAAUUCCGUAGCCUCCGAAGAUUUAAGCACAGGGACACUUUUGAAGGGCUGAGCCGGGCGUUGGUUGCCCCGGUCGAAAGGGACACGAGUGAGUGGAAGUCAGUUUGGAAAGAGGCGAGAAAAGCUGUGUGUAUAUGGAAGGAGCCCGUACCGCAAACCGACACAGGUAGACAGGAAGAAGAUUCUAAGGCCAGCGGGAGAAGGGUUGUUAAGGAACUCGGCAAGUUGACCCCGUAACUUCGGGAGAAGGGGUGCUUACGAAGGUAAGCCGCAGAGAAUAGGCCCAAGCGACUGUUUAGCAAAAACACAGCUCUAUGCUAAAUCGAAAGAUGACGUAUAUGGGGUGACACCUGCCCGGUGCUGGAAGGUUAAGAGGAGAUGUGAGAGCAUUGAAUUGAAGCCCCAGUAAACGGCGGCCGUAACUAUAACGGUCCUAAGGUAGCGAAAUUCCUUGUCAGGUAAGUUCUGACCCGCACGAAUGGUGUAACGAUUUGGGCACUGUCUCAACAACCCACCCGGCGAAAUUGUAGUACCGGUGAAGAUGCCGGUUACCCGCGACUAGACGGAAAGACCCCAUGGAGCUUCACUGCAGCUUAAUAUUGGAUUUCGGUAUUUCAUGUACAGGAUAGGUGGGAGACUGGGAAAUACAGGCGUCAGCUUGUAUGGAGUCAUUGUUGGGAUACCACUCUUGAGGUGCUGGAAUUCUAACCUGUGGCCUUGAAUCAGGUCAGGGGACAUUGUUAGGCGGGCAGUUUGACUGGGGCGGUCGCCUCCUAAAAGGUAACGGAGGCGCUCAAAGGUUCGCUCAGCAUGGACGGAAACCAUGCCAGAGAGUGCAAACGCAUAAGCGAGCCUAACUGCGAGACUGACGGGUCGAGCAGUAACGAAAGUUGGAGUUAGUGAUCCGGCGGUAUGUGAGUGGAAAUGCCGUCGCUCAACGGAUAAAAGCUACCCUGGGGAUAACAGGCUGAUCUCCCCCAAGAGUCCACAUCGACGGGGAGGUUUGGCACCUCGAUGUCGGCUCAUCGCAUCCUGGGGCUGUAUUCGGUCCCAAGGGUUUGGCUGUUCGCCAAUUAAAGCGGUACGCGAGCUGGGUUCAGAACGUCGUGAGACAGUUCGGUCCCUAUCUGUCGUGGGCGUUGGAGAUUUGAAAGGAGCUGUCCCUAGUACGAGAGGACCGGGAUGGACGCACCUCUGGUGCACCAGUUGUCACGCCAGUGGCACAGCUGGGCAGCUAUGUGCGGAACGGAUAAACGCUGAAAGCAUCUAAGCGUGAAGCCGCCCUUAAGAUAAGAUCUCCUUUAAGACCCCUUGUAGACUACGAGGUUGAUAGGUCUGAUGUGUAAGCAUGGUGACAUGUUUAGCUUGCAGAUACUAAUCGGUCGUUCGCUUUUCCUU
rnacentral:rRNA from 1 species